rnacentral:rRNA from 1 species
GACAGAGGGUGCAAACGUUGUUCGGAAUUACUGGGCGUAAAGCGCGUGUAGGCGGCCCUGCAAGUCGGGUGUGAAAUCCCACGGCUCAACCGUGGAAGUGCACUCGAAACUGCAGGGCUAGAGUCCUGGAGAGGAAGGUGGAAGUGCUUGGUGUAGAGGUGAAAUUCGUAGAUAUCAGGAGGAACACCGGUGGCGAAGGCGGGUCUACUGGGCCGAUAC